rnacentral:lncRNA from 1 species
CGCCGUGCUUUUCCAUGCGGUGGCAUUGGUAUACUGUUUAUUAAUUACUCAUACGGGGGGGGGGAGUCUGGAGCCCGUCAACGAAGUGAUCAGUUCGCUACCUAGAAUUCCAUUUUAGGGAGGGUCGAGGAUUGUCUGGUUUUGGGCGCAAGGCGAUGAGCGAUUGGAACUCAGUCCUGUGGUCAGUGGUGUCACGCAGACAUCCGUCUCUGCGCGCUUCUGUCGGGAUAACGCAGCUGACACGCGCGGAUGCUCCGGCAAAUGAAAAGAAAACGGGCUCCGAAACUUUCCAGGAUUUUCCCAAUGCGUUGGGGAGACACAUCAUCAUGAUGACCGUGUAUUUCAGCCGUUCUGAUGCAACGGGCCGUGCUCCGCCUUGUUGGACACAAUAAUAUAAGAACGCUCUUCUCCUUCUAAAGGACGUCGUGUUGCAAUCUCGAUCACGGGAUCAGAGGAUUACCGAAGUGGGAGACCGCGUUAACAUCAACUUCAGGACUGCUGGUAAGGCAGGCGGGGCGGGGGGGGAGGAGGCUGCAAUGUGGCCGCGUAGUGACCCAACUCCAGCAGCCACCAGCGAGUGUCCGCGCCGCGCUCCUCUCUCUCCCGUGCUGGACAGAACCCUCUCCCUGAGCCCGAGGCGACGGGUACGAGAUGUGCCGAGCAUGCUUCACAUCCCCAGUGACUCGUGGUGGUGGACCGGCCUUCCUGCGGGACCGGUAUGAGCCCGACACUGAGGCUGGGAAAGAGGAGCUGGUGACUCAGGCCCGGCCCUGGGCCAGGGUUUGGGGAAGGGAAUGCGGGGAAUUACCCAUUGUGGAAGCUCAUAUUGCCACGGACAGGAAGCAAUGCUUGCCUGCAUCCCUUGGUACUGUUGUUCUCACUACAAUUCCCUUAAGUAGCUUUCCUCAUGCUACUGUUACUCUCACUACAUUUUGUGUCACAAGUGUUACUCCCUGUACCUUUCCUCUCAGUAUUGCGACCCCCUGUACAGUUGCUCUCGUUGUUGUUCCCCUCUGUCCCAUUUCUCUUUACCCUAACUACCAUAGUCCUCUCAGCAGCGUUACCUCAUUACCAUAUUCCUGUCAGCAGCGUUACCCUCAUUACCAUAUUCCUGUCAGCAGCGUUACCCUCACUACCAUAUUCCUGUCAGCAGCGUUACCUCACUACCAUAUUCCUGUCAGCAGUGUUACCUCACUACCAUAUUCCUCAGCAGCGUUACCUCACUACCAUAUUCCUGUCAGCAGCAUUACCUCACUACCAUAUUCCUCAGGAGCGUUACCUCACUACCAUAUUCCUGUCAGCAGCGUUACCUCGCUACCAUAUUCCUGUCAGCAGCGUUACCUCACUACCAUAUUCCAGUCAGCAGCGUUAUUUCGCUACCAUAUUCCUCAGCAGCGUUACCUCACUACCAUAUUCCUGUCAGCAGCAUUACCUCACUACCAUAUUCCUGUCAGCAGCGUUACCUCACUACCAUAUUCCUGUCAACAGCAUUACCUCACUACCAUAUUCCUCAGGAGUGUUACCUCACUACCAUAUUCCUGUCAGCAGCAUUACCUCACUACCAUAUUCCUGUCAGCAGUGUUACCUCACUACCAUAUUCCUGUCAGCAGCGCUACCUCACUACCAUAUUCCUGUCAGCAGUGUUACCUCACUACCAUAUUCCUGUCAGCAGUGUUACCUCACUACCAUAUUCCUGUCAGCAGCAUUACCUCACUACCAUAUUCCUCAGGAGCGUUACCUCACUACCAUAUUCCUGUCAGCAGCGUUACCUCACUACCAUAUUCCUCAGCAGCGUUACCUCACUACCAUAUUCCAGUCAGCAGCGUUAUUUCGCUACCAUAUUCCUCAGCAGCGUUACCUCACUACCAUAUUCCUGUCAGCAGCAUUACCUCACUACCAUAUUCCUGUCAGCAGCGUUACCUCACUACCAUAUUCCUGUCAACAGCAUUACCUCACUACCAUAUUCCUCAGGAGUGUUACCUCACUACCAUAUUCCUGUCAGCAGCAUUACCUCACUACCAUAUUCCUGUCAGCAGUGUUACCUCACUACCAUAUUCCUCAGGAGUGUUACCUCACUACCAUAUUUCUGUCAGCAGCAUUACCUCACUACCAUAUUCCUGUCAGCAGUGUUACCUCACUACCAUAUUCCUGUCAGCAGUGUUACCUCACUACCAUAUUCCUGUCAGCAGCAUUACCUCACUACCAUAUUCCUCAGGAGCGUUACCUCACUACCAUAUUCCUGUCAGCAGCGUUACCUCACUACCAUAUUCCUCAGCAGCGUUACCUCACUACCAUAUUCCAGUCAGCAGCGUUAUUUCGCUACCAUAUUCCUCAGCAGUGUUACCUCACUACCAUAUUCCUGUCAGCAGCAUUACCUCACUACCAUAUUCCUGUCAGCAGCGUUACCUCACUACCAUAUUCCUGUCAACAGCAUUACCUCACUACCAUAUUCCUCAGGAGUGUUACCUCACUACCAUAUUCCUGUCAGCAGCAUUACCUCACUACCAUAUUCCUGUCAGCAGUGUUACCUCACUACCAUAUUCCUGUCAGCAGCGCUACCUCACUACCAUAUCUCUGUCAGCAGCAUUACCUCACUACCAUAUUCCUGUCAGCAGUGUUACCUCACUACCAUAUUCCUGUCAGCAGUGUUACCUCACUACCAUAUUCCUGUCAGCAGCGCUACCUCACUACCAUAUUCCUGUCAGCGGCGUUACCUCACUACCAUAUUCCUCAGGAGUGUUACCUCACUACCAUAUUCCUGUCGGCAGCGUUACCUCACUACCAUAUUCCUCACUACUGUUCUUCUCAAUAGUAUUACCCUGUACAAUUCCUCUCAGUACCCGCCACUACCAUUCUUCUCACUUACAUACCUCUUGGUAUUGUCAGCCUUGCUACUGUUUGUCUUCAUAGUAUUUCACUACCAUUAAUCUCCGUUGUGUUACCUCAUUACUGUUCCUCUCAGCAGUGUUACUUUUUGUACUGUUCCUCUUAUGUGCUUUCUUCAUGCUAUUUCAGGGAAGAGCAAUCUUACCCUCACUAUCGCUCCUCUAGAAUCAUCACUCUAGAGUCACAAAUGAAAUGUUCUGUAAAUAAAACAACAUUUUUAUAAAUAAAAUGCA